CAGUAGCCGCGGGAAAACGUAGGGUGCAAGCGUUAAUCGGAAUUACUGGGCGUAAAGCGUGCGCAGGCGGUUUUGUAAGACAGAGGUGAAAUCCCCGGGCUCAACCUGGGAACUGCCUUUGUGACUGCAAGGCUAGAGUACGGCAGAGGGGGAUGGAAUUCCGCGUGUAGCAGUGAAAUGCGUAGAUAUGCGGAGGAACACCGAUGGCGAAGGCAAUCCCCUGGGCCUGUACUGACGCUCAUGCACGAAAGCGUGGGGAGCAAACAGGAUUAGAUACCCCGGUAGUCCCUGUCUCUUAUAC
rnacentral:rRNA from 1 species